UUCUUAUUAAUUUGGAAACUUAAAAAAAAUGAGAUGGAACAAUGCAAUAAUGGUUUGGGGAAAAUUAUUGAAUUAAUCUAUAUAAUUCCUUAAUUCUACACAGUAUAUAAUAAUUAAUUGUUCUCACAAAAUAUAGCAUAUUUGUUUUCAUAACUCUGAUGAGUCAAUAUUACUGAACAAGAAUAAAACAACGAUAAACAUAGGUCCAGGUUAUAGUGACUUACCAAGGAAAAAACUUGGUUUAUGAUAAAUAUUCAAAAACUCAUUUACAUUUAUAAGUGACUGUAAAAAAUCAAUUCUGCUCCUUCCUCCCUGCUGCAUUUCAGUUCAGAUUUGGUACAUCCACUAUGAUACGUAGUACUAAAAUAAAUAUGAUUCGUUUCUUAUCCAGAACUUGACGCACUGUGUGCAUUUAAAAGCUCCAGUACACACCUGUAGACAAGUUGCUGCAGGAAAAGUGCCAGCUAGAAACUCACCUACCCAGUCAGGGGCUAAAAGGUUUGAUUAUCAACUUCCUUAGUUACCUGUUGCAUGAGCUUCCCCAGGGUUAGGGACAAAAAGGAGUGCCCAGGGCCUGCGGCACUGGAAUUCCUGCCGUGAAGGUUUCACUGUGUCCAUUACUGUGCUGCUAUUUGCACAGUGACCUGUCAGAAAGAUGCUUCCAUUUUAUUUAUUUUUGGUACUACACAGACUGAACUUCAAAAUAAGAAAGUCUUGCUUUGAGAAAAAGAAGGCAAAACAAUCAAAUUAAUUAGAAAAAAAAAAGACCUUUAACUGAGAUUGGAUUUUGUCCAGUGGCUAAAGGAAUGAUUGGCAAGCUUAGUAAAAGUACUUCGAAAAAGUGCAGACCUAUUAAAAAAAAAAAACCAAAAAAACACCAAAAAAACCCACAAAUUGUGAAAGAUAUCAAGGAGCUAAAAAUUGCAGUUCAAAGUAAAGAAUGAGGUUAACUAUCUAUAGAUUGCACCAGUUUACUGAAAUAAAAAAUAACACCAGGUCCAAAUUUUGUCAUAGCAGAAACGGCUAACAAUUGCAUGGCAGAACUGGGAUAAGAAACAUCUUACACAGAUGCCCACAGAACCUCGGAGUUCAUACUCUCUGCCUGACCUGGAUACCACUGAGUUCAUCCUCCCCUAUGCCUACACACCCGUCGCUAACAAUUGAUAAAACUUUCUGGUUGUUUGCGACCCCUCUGACUUUCGUCGCUCUUUCCCACCAAUGAGCAUUUAUUAAUCUCAGGUGAUUGUUUCCUUUCAAGGGUGGGUGUUCACAGCGGUGCAACAGAGGAUUCAAAAAUUCUUUCUCACAAUUCAGCGGGGGCUCUAAGUGGUUUUCGCAACUUCCGUAACUUGCAAUGAUAAUUCGCUCUGUUCCCCAUACUAAAAUUACGGGGGGGAAAAAAAGAAAAAAAAAUAUCAAUGUUUGAGAGCACUUUCAGUUAAAGCAAACACAGCAGCUCUCUCUGAGGCGACCCCUGGACCGGCGAGCUCUCCGCCGCCGCUGCCCAGGGCCCGCUCCCACCGCCGCCCGCCAUUGGCUGCCGAGUGGCGCCGAGCGCGCUCGUGCUGCUCCAGCGCGGCGCCGGAGGCGGCGGGGAGGGGAGCGAAGGGCUCGAGCACGGCGCGGUGCAUUGUGGGGCGGGAGAGGAGAGUCACUGCUCAGCCAGGGCCGCCAUCUUGGCUGCGUCCGGACUCGCUCCCGCUCCCGCGGCCUGUUCCUUCUCCUCGCAGCGCAAAGCGGUGAAAAGGGGGAAGACCAAAGGCCCGCCCGGGCGGUGCUGAUGCACGCAGAGCAUCCUCGCACCUCUCCGGGGCGUCGCUAGUAAAGGGGGCGGGGGUGGUCGAGCAGUCGCCGGUGCGGCCUCUCCUCUCCCGGGAUGGGUCGGUCCCGCAGCCGGAGCUCAUCCCGCUCCAAGCACACCAAGAGCUCCAAGCACAACAAGAAGAACCGGAGUCGAUCGCGGUCCCGCUCCCGAGAAAAGGAGCGGGCAAGGAAGCGCUCCAAGUCCCGGGAGAGCAAGCGGAACCGGCGCCGGGAGUCCCGCUCCCGCUCGCGCUCUAACACGGCCCCCUCCUCCCGGCGCGACCGGGACCGGGACCGUGACCGUGCCUCCUCCCCCCCCGACCGUAUCGACAUCUUCGGCCGCACGGUGAGCAAGCGCAGCAGCCUGGACGAGAAACAGAAGCGGGAGGAGGAGGAGAAAAAAGCGGAGUUCGAGCGGCAGCGGAAAAUUCGUCAACAAGAAAUUGAAGAGAAACUCAUAGAGGAAGAAACUGCUCGAAGGGUGGAAGAACUUGUAGCUAAACGCGUAGAGGAAGAGUUGGAGAAAAGAAAGGAUGAGAUUGAGCGAGAGGUUCUCCGCAGGGUGGAGGAGGCUAAGCGCAUCAUGGAAAAACAGUUGCUCGAAGAACUCGAGCGACAGCGACAAGCUGAACUUGCAGCACAAAAAGCCAGAGAGGUAACGCUCGGUCGUUUGGAAAGUAGAGACAGUCCAUGGCAAAACUUUCAGUGUCGGUUUGUGCCUCCUGUUGGGUUCAGAAAGAAAUGGAAUACAGCAAAUCUAAUUCCCUUCUCAUAUAAACUUGCAUUGCUGCGAAACUUAAUUUCUAGCCUAUUCAGAGGAGCUCACUGAUAUUUAAACAGUUACUCUCCUAAAACCUGAACAAGGAUACUUGAUUCGUAAUGGAACUGACCUACAUAUUUUAGAAUUGUUUGAAACUUUUGCCAUGGCUGCAGGAUUUAACAGCAGUCCUUUCAUUUUGGGGAAGGGUGUUUAAAAAAAUGUAAUUAUGUAUCCUUCAUUUGUUUCAUUUUGUUUACCUAGACUGUAAGAGGCUUUUGCCUUCAGCCAGGCAAAAAGCAGGGUCCAGCAGUGCGCUGCAGUACCUGUCUUUAACAAAUAGGUUUCUUAUUCUUCAUUUAAAAUGAACAUUUUCCUUGAGCAUACAUUGGACUAAUUGUGGGACUUCGAGCAUAAGCCCAUCCACGUCUUCACGAAGGAUCUCUGUCCAAAUCAUUAUAUCCAUUUUUAAUAACUACUAACAACUCCUUUUUUUCUCCCUAGAAGUUAUAAAAGAGCAGGUUGCCCUUGUCUGAAGUCAAGCUGAACGUGUGACUUGGGUCUUUUUUUGUUGUUUUGUUUUGUUUUUUUAAUCAGCAGCUGGAACAGAAGCUGAAAAUGUCUUUCUGUGAGACAGUAAUUUGCUACUAAAGGCUUUGAUGCCUGCCUGCACCAAUCAUUCCAGGAUCCAGAAAUUCCAAGACAAACUUCAAACUGUAGAGGGAAUUUGUGCUAAAUAGUUCUAAGUGUCAAAUGCUUUUUUCACUCUCUACGUCCUACACAGUGUAUUUUAAAUUAGUAUUUUGAUUGGCUUAAGAAAGCAGAGACAGUAGCAAUGCAGCUUUCCCCUUCAUACUAGAUGUGACUUGUCAGUCACAUAGUAUCAAAUUAAAUGGAAACAAAUGGAAUGCUGAGUUACAAUAAAUAAUAAAAAGAAUAAAUAAAUUAUACUUCUUCUGCAAAUUCAGACUUUAAUAUCAAACAGCUUAAGUUGAAUUUACAUGUUCAUAGUCAGCAAAUUCUUCAUAUUUAGAGGUUUUCAUUUGAUCUUGGAUGACUUGUUUUUUUUAAAAAAAAAGUAUUUUUGGUAUUGUCAUCAUGUGGAGAAGUCCCACCAGUUCCUUGUAAUGCAGAAUGAACCUCCAUGCCUGGAGUGAAGUGUGCUAGCUAGUAGCUGGUUACUAGUCAUAGUAAGAAGUUUUCAUAUGCUUGCUUUGUUCAUAUUAACUUUUUUUUCUUACACAGACACAAACCUCUGGCUAACUUUAAAUCCUCCAAAUAUAAAAAUAAUUUGGAUAUAUAUUAUGUGAACUGAAACAAUUCAAAAUUUUUCACGCAGUCUUCAUAUUUGAGUUGCAUAACAAGAGUUCCAUAAAAUUCACCAAGAAAACAACAAUUACAGGGCUUUAUUUCCUGAUCUGCCUUCCCUGGACUCCUGAAUUCCAAGUUCAUACUGCAGACAGUUUCAGCUGUCUUAAAAUUGUCAAAAUACUGAAUGUUAAGUCCAUUCUCCCCAUGAAAGAAGCCCAUAGCUCCAUGAAGUAUGGAUUACCAUUUGUAUUUUUCACUAACAGUAAAUGUAUUUUUCUUAUUAAUUGUUUGCCUUAGGAAUGAUUUACAUAUUUUUGUUCCUUCUUACCAUAAACAUCUGCAUUCCUCAGCUCAGCCUUCCUUGUAUGUUGUUUCUUUAUAAAUGGUUGAGCUGCUGAUGCAGGUAUUGCCAAGCUAACAGUACAAAUCAUUUUAAAGAGGAAGCUGGCGCGUAUGGCAGCCGAGGAGCACACUCUGCAGGACACUGGACAAGACAGAAGAAGAGCGUGCAAAGCGUGAGGAACUAGAGCGAAUACUAGAAGAGAAUAAUCGAAAAAUUGCAGAAGCACAAGCUAAACUG